rnacentral:lncRNA from 1 species
AUCUCCCCACCCGGUCCAGUCCCCGGCUCCACCAAAACAACGUCGUCUCUGAGAAGUAAUCAUGGCGCUUGAUAAUUGAUCCAAUACACAGAGAUGUCCUAGGUUAAGAGUAUUUAAUGGUCGGAUUAUACCCCCUACCACCGUUUCAUCGCCUCGAACACACCCCUCGCAGACCUUGUGUAACGCUGCCAGUUGUCGCCGGCCAAAAAUUGUCGUCUCUACCAGCCCACCUGCAAACGACACGAGAAUUACACCACUGAUUCCCUUUCUUCUCCUCUAUCCAAAUCCACCAUCCGUUUCUCUAAAACAUCAACCAUUUUAUUCAAAUCUUAAUUCAAAAUUUUCCGGCCACUACACAACGUUCUCAGUUCAUCCCCAAAAUUACACCAUAAGACCGCUUGGCCUUCCUCUAUCGAAUCACCCAAGCCAUAUCCCUCAACUCUCGCCAAAAUUGUUUGAAUAUUAAGUCGAAAUUUUUCGCAAAACCCUAAUUCUCUUAAAACUACCAAAUUGGUAAUAAAAGUCCUCCUUGUCUUCCUCGUGAAGAAUCCAUCAGUGGAAAGGGUCAAACAUCGCCAAAGUUGUUCGAAUUUCUAAAAAUGUUAAGCCAUGUUAGUGAGUUUUCCUUCUCAAUUGUAUUAUUUUUGUUUUCUUUAGUUGUGUUGCUUAUUAGUUUGAUUCAUGUUGUUAAUUACAUUUGUUUUAAUUUCUAUAUGAUUCUUUUUUAUAGUCUAGUUCAAGCCUAACCUAAUCGUUGUUCUAUUAGAAUAAAUGUCUACGUUAAUUCAUGAUUUUUAGUAAUUGUUAUUUGCCCUGUUAUUGUAAUUGUUUUCAAUUUCUUAUUAAAUUGUUUCUUAGUGAUUUUUGUCUAGUUCAGUAUCGUUUUGAUUGUGAUUAGUGGUUUAUGGUAGUUUAUAGCAUAGUGUUAGAUUUAUUAUUGUUUUCUAAUUGAUAAAAUAAUAAGAGCUUGGGUAGGGAUUGCAUUGUUACUGUUGAAAUUCAUGUUUUUGUUAGUUGACCAUGGUUUAAUCAAAGUGGGGGUUAGGUUAGGGGUUCUAGGGAUAUUAAGGGGUAUGUGGGUAAUUGGUGUAGGAAAUCAUUCUAUGAUAUGUGUGCUUUGAUUGUAUUAGCAUGAUUUCCAGGUAUAGGUUUUGAUGAAUGACAAAN